rnacentral:rRNA from 1 species
UACGUAGGGAGCAAGCGUUGUCCGGAAUCAUUGGGCGUAAAGCGCGCGUAGGUGGCUUCGUAAGUCCGCUGUGAAAGUCAAAGGCUCAACCUUUGAAAGCCGGUGGAUACUGCGGAGCUAGAGUACGGAAGAGGCGAGUGGAAUUCCUGGUGUAGCGGUGGAAUGCGCAGAUAUCAGGAGGAACACCAAUAGCGAAGGCAGCUCGCUGGGACGUUACUGACACUGGAGGCGCGAAAGCGUGGGGAGCGAACAGG